rnacentral:rRNA from 1 species
AGAGUUUGAUCAUGGCUCAGAACGAACGCUGGCGGCAUGCCUAACACAUGCAAGUCGAACGCUUACCCGGUUUUGGCCGGGUAGGAGUGGCGCACGGGUGAGUAGCGCGUGGGAACCUGCCCUGUUGUGGGGGAUAACCGAGGGAAACUUCGGCUAAUACCGCAUAAGCCGGUUGUCUUGAGAGAGAGGGCCGGGAAAGAUUUAUCGCGACAGGAGGGGCCCGCGUCGGAUUAGCUAGUUGGUGGGGUAACGGCCUACCAAGGCACCGAUCCGUAGCUGGUCUGAGAGGAUGAUCAGCCACACUGGGACUGAGACACGGCCCAGACUCCUACGGGAGGCAGCAGUGGGGAAUAUUGGACAAUGGGCGCAAGCCUGAUCCAGCAAUGCCGCGUGAGUGAUGAAGGCCUUCGGGUUGUAAAGCUCUUUCGGCGGGGACGAUGAUGACGGUACCCGCAGAAGAAGCCCCGGCUAACUUCGUGCCAGCAGCCGCGGUAAUACGAAGGGGGCGAGCGUUGUUCGGAUUUACUGGGCGUAAAGGGCGCGUAGGCGGCGCGAGAAGUCAGGCGUGAAAGCCCCGGGCUCAACCUGGGAAUGGCGCUUGGGACUCUCGUGCUCGAGUUCGGGAGAGGAGAGUGGAAUUCCCAGUGUAGAGGUGAAAUUCGUAGAUAUUGGGAAGAACACCGGUGGCGAAGGCGGCUCUCUGGACCGAGACUGACGCUGAGGCGCGAAAGCGUGGGGAGCAAACAGGAUUAGAUACCCUCGUAGUCC